GAUCUCAGUGUAAAAAUGUGUCACUAAUUUUGAAGGCAAUGAGGUCUCAGAAGCAUCUAAAAUGAGCAAUUUAACUGGUGGAAAAUCUGAAACCAGUCUUCCAAAUCAAUUGGAAGUUAUUUUUUGUCAAGAUUUAAAUGGAAGUUUGGAUGGGGUUGGCUCAGCAGAUGUUUGUGAUUAUACUUGUCAUAAUGAUGGACGAUUUUGGAGGUGUUACAACUUUGUACAAGAGACUAAGAUGGGAUCUCUGGUUUGAAAGCUGAUCAAUAUGCUACAGCACUGAGGGAGCUGCUAUUCGUUCAUUUUGUAUAUUUCACUGAUUUUGAAGGUGUGCAUCUGAUUAUACCUUGCUGGUUAAGUCUUCUCCAAGCAUAACUCCAAUUUCAAGAACUCCAAUUACCAACUCCAUGAUAAUUAUGAGUUCAAGAACUCUCCUUUUUUUCUGAUUCAGGGGCAACAUUUAAAUCAAACUUGAAAUGCUCGAUUAAAGUAGCACUUUUUGUUUCUUCUAGAAUUCCCCUACCCGCAACUUUAUUGCCAACUUUUGCUCCUCCAUGUGUUUAUCUGGAGUAUUUCAGAGCCGGGGUGCAUAACCUUAUACAUUAGUAUUCAUUUGUUUUCUUUCUCGUUCCAUGCUUUUAAAUCUUUAUGGAGAUCUUCCAAUGCCUUAAAGCCAUUUGAUUUUCCCUCAACAUAAUCACGUUGACGAUUCUCUAGUUUCAUUUUGAAAAAUUUAUCAAUUAUUUCUUCUAUACUUGUGGAAAACACAAAAACCAUGUGUUUUCCACAAGUAUAGAAUAAAUAAUUGAUAAAUUUUUCAAAGUGAAAGUAGAGGAUCGCCAACAUGAUUAUGCUUAGGGCAAAUUAGAUGGCUUUGAGGCACUGGAGAUCUUUGUGAAGAAUUACAAACAUUUAAUGAGAAAAACGAAUACUAAUGUAUAAGAUUAUACACUCUGGCUCAGAAACACCUCAUGAUAAAUAUAUGGAGCAGUAGAAGCUGGCCAUUAAGUUGCAGGUGAAGAAUGAUAAAGAAGAAAUAAGGAGGUGCUAUGUUGGUCAAACAUCUCAAAUUUGAUUUAAUUGUAGUCUUUGAGCCAGAAGAGGAGAGUUUUUCAACUUAUAAUUAACAUUGAUUUGGUAGUUGGUGUUCUUGAAAUUGGAGAAUACCUUACCAAUGAUCGAAUCUUCAAAUUUGGUCAAUCUUUGUUUUUAUUAUUAACUCAUCCAUUUAUACGAAUUGUUAUACAUUAAUUACUUAUUUUAGUGGAGUGGUUUUGCAUUUAAGUAGUUAAAACCUACAUUGCUAAUUUAGUAAUUGAGUUUACACAAAAUAGGAGCCAGAAAAAGAAUAAGUCAAAUUUGAGAAAGUACAUUCCAAGUGCACCCGAGGGUGUGGAAUUAAACACAAACGUAUUAAACACUUAUUUUGAUAAAGGUAACAGUGAUAUUUAUAGAACACUUUGUAGCAUCACAUUAGUGUUAUAGGGAAUGACACACUAAAGUGUAAUACAGGAAAGAUGACUGCUUUGGCAUUUGCAGUCUGUAAAAUUAGAAGUUUCUGUCUAAACUUCAUGGCUACUAAUUAGUAUUUGAUAAUUGUCACAGGUGAUUGUGAUCGUUGUGGAGAUAUGAUCUCAGUGUAAAAAUGUGUCACUAAUUUUGAAGGCAAUGAGGUCUCAGAAGCAUCUAAAAUGAGCAAUUUAACUGGUGGAAAAUCUGAAACCAGUCUUCCAAAUCAAUUGGAAGUUAUUUUUUGUCAAGAUUUAAAUGGAAGUUUGGAUGGGGUUGGCUCAGCAGAUGUUUGUGAUUAUACUUGUCAUAAUGAUGGACGAUUUUGGAGGUGUUACAACUUUGUACAAGAGACUAAGAUGGGAUCUCUGAUUUGAAAGCUGAUCAAUAUGCUACAGCACUGAGGGAGCUGCUAUUUGUUCAUUUUGUAUAUUUCACUGAUUUUGAAGGUGUGCAUCUGAUUAUACCUUGCUGUUACUUUGUUAUGAACUUCAGAAAAGUGCCAAGUGCGAAAGUGUAAGAACUCGGAGGAUAUGUACAAUGCUUAGUAUAAUUUUAAGGAUGAUGAUGAUGACAGUGACCGAGAACCAUCAGAAAGGCAAAUAGAAGUUCUGCAGUGGUUGUGUCAAUUGUACCAUGAUCAAUGUCGAGGAUGUUGGC
rnacentral:lncRNA from 1 species